rnacentral:rRNA from 1 species
CCUACGGGUGGCAGCAGUAGGGAAUCUUCCACAAUGGGCGAAAGCCUGAUGGAGCAACGCCGCGUGGGUGAAGAAGGUCUUCGGAUCGUAAAACCCUGUUGUUAGAGAAGAAAGUGCGUGAGAGUAACUGUUCACGUUUCGACGGUAUCUAACCAGAAAGCCACGGCUAACUACGUGCCCGCCGCUGCGGCAAUACGUAGGUGGCAAGCGUUAUCCGGAUUUAUUGGGCGUAAAGGGAGCGCAGGCGGUCUUUUAAGUCUGAUGUGAAUGCCUUCGGCUUAACCGCAGUAGUGCAUUGGAAACUGGGAGACUUGAGUGCAGAAGAGGAAAGUGGAAUUCGAGGUGUAGCGGUGAAAUGCGUAGAUAUAGGGAAGAACACCAGUGGCGAAGGCGGCUCUCUGGUCUGUAACUGACGCUGAGGUACGAAAGCGUGGGUAGCAAACAGGAUUAGAUACCCGUGUAGUC